CAGUCGCCACGGUAAUACGUAGGUCCCGAGCGUUGUCCGGAUUUAUUGGGCGUAAAGCGAGCGCAGGCGGUUAGAUAAGUCUGAAGUUAAAGGCUGUGGCUUAACCAUAGUAUGCUUUGGAAACUGUUUAACUUGAGUGCAGAAGGGGAGAGUGGAAUUCCAUGUGUAGCGGUGAAAUGCGUAGAUAUAUGGAGGAACACCGGUGGCGAAAGCGGCUCUCUGGUCUGUAACUGACGCUGAGGAGCGAAAGCGUGGGGAGCGAACAGGAUUAGAUACCCCAGUAGUCCCUGUCUCUUAUACA
rnacentral:rRNA from 1 species